rnacentral:rRNA from 1 species
AUUGAACGCUGGCGGCAUGCCUUACACAUGCAAGUCGAACGGUAACAGAUCUUCGGAUGCUGACGAGUGGCGAACGGGUGAGUAAUACAUCGGAACGUGCCCGAUCGUGGGGGAUAACGAAGCGAAAGCUUUGCUAAUACCGCAUACGAUCUACGGAUGAAAGCAGGGGACCGCAAGGCCUUGCGCGAACGGAGCGGCCGAUGGCAGAUUAGGUAGGUGGUGGGAUAAAAGCUUACCAAGCCGACGAUCUGUAGCUGGUCUGAGAGGACGACCAGCGACACUGGGACGGAGACACGGCCCAGACUCCUACGGGAGGAAGCAGUGGGUAAUUUUGGACAAUGGGCGAAAGCCUGAUCCAGCCAUGCCGCGUGCAGGAUGAAGGCCUUCGGGUUGUAAACUGCUUUUGUACGGAACGAAAAGACUCUGGUUAAUACCUGGGGUCCAUGACGGUACCGUAAGAAUAAGCACCGGCUAACUACGUGCCAGCCGCCGCAGUAA